rnacentral:rRNA from 1 species
AUUGAACGCUGGCGGCAUGCCUUACACAUGCCAGUCGAACGGUAACAGGUCUUCGGAUGCUGACGAGUGGCGAACGGGUGAGUAAUACAUCGGAACGUGCCCGAUCGUGGGGGAUAACGAAGCGAAAGCUUUGCUAAUACCGCAUACGAUCUACGGAUGAAAGCAGGGGACCGCAAGGCCUUGCGCGAACGGAGCGGCCGAUGGCAGAUUAGGUAGUUGGUGGGAUAAAAGCUUACCAAGCCGACGAUCUGUAGCUGGUCUGAGAGGACGACCAGCCACACUGGGACUGAGACACGGCCCAGACUCCUACGGGAGGCAGCAGUGGGGAAUUUUGGACAAUGGGCGAAAGCCUGAUCCAGCCAUGCCGCAUGCAGGAUGAAGGCCUUCGGGUUGUAAACUGCUUUUGUACGGAACGAAAAGACUCUGGUUAAUACCUGGGGUCCAUGACGGUACCGUAAGAAUAAGCACCGGCUAACUACGUG